UCUGAAGUAGGUCCUGUUUAC
rnacentral:piRNA from 1 species